rnacentral:tRNA from 1 species
UGAGCAGUAGCUCAGUUGUAGAGCACCUCCUUCGUAUGCGGGAAGGCCUGGGUUCGACUCCCAGCUGCUUAC